GGUAGGCUACACAUGCAAGUCGAACGGCAGCACAGUAAGAGCUUGCUCUUAUGGGUGGCGAGUGGCGGACGGGUGAGGAAUACAUCGGAAUCUACUCUGUCGUGGGGGAUAACGUAGGGAAACUUACGCUAAUACCGCAUACGACCUACGGGUGAAAGCAGGGGAUCUUCGGACCUUGCGCGAUUGAAUGAGCCGAUGUCGGAUUAGCUAGUUGGCGGGGUAAAGGCCCACCAAGGCGACGAUCCGUAGCUGGUCUGAGAGGAUGAUCAGCCACACUGGAACUGAGACACGGUCCAGACUCCUACGGGAGGCAGCAGUGGGGAAUAUUGGACAAUGGGCGCAAGCCUGAUCCAGCCAUACCGCGUGGGUGAAGAAGGCCUUCGGGUUGUAAAGCCCUUUUGUUGGGAAAGAAAUCCAGCUGGCUAAUACCCGGUUGGGAUGAUGGUACCCAAAGAAUAAGCACCGGCUAACUUCGUGCCAGCAGCCGCGGUAAU
rnacentral:rRNA from 1 species